rnacentral:tRNA from 1 species
UCGGGAUUGGCCAAGUGGUAAGGCAAGGGACUCUGAAUCCCUCAUCGUAGGUUCGACCCCUACAUCCCGAACCA